UUCGACUGAAGUGUAGGAAGAGGAUGUGGUCUCGCGGAUACGCAGUUGCAAAAGGGAGCACCUAGAAGAGCCCUGAAGAGAUCCCAGGAACUCAGGGACAGUUGGGCAGAGGAAGUGACGGGGAACUGAUAGCACAUAUUUACUUGAAAACCUAGUAUGUAUCCAGUGCUGGACUGGGUACUAAGGCUGCAGAGAUGGAAAAACAAAAUGAAACCAAACCAACCCACAGUUCCUGCACUUGGAAUCUGCUACCAAAUUGGGAAGAGACACGUGAGCUGGCAGCUGUCACACCACAUGACAGGAGCUCUGAUGGAGAGCAGUGGGAAGCCACUGAAGAAUUUCGAGCAGGGGUGAUGUGGUCAGAUCUGUUUCCAAAAGAGAAUGGCAGCUGUGAGGAGGGCAGCUGUGAGGAGAGCAGCUGGAGGCAAAUGCACGCAAGCCAGGUCUGCGGGGAGCCUGGACCAGCCUGCAGAGCACCUACUAUAUGCCAGACACUAUUCUAGAUGCUGGGGAUACAGACGUAAAGAAAACAGACAAGAGUCACCGCCCUUAUGGAGUUGAGGUAAAGUAACUAAGAAUGUAAAACUUUAGAUGAUUUUUUCAAAAAUCACAAAGGAUAUUAGAGAGUGUGAGGAUGUUUGUGUAUGUAUUUAUGUGUGCGUAUGCACACACACAAUUUAAAAUAAUGAGGGAAGGCCUUAUUAAGAAGGCGACAUUUCAGCAAAGAGUUGAAGGAAAUGAACAAACACACAACAUGAAUACCUAGAAGAAGCGCACUGCAGGCAAGAGAAGCACCAGGCUGGGUGUGGCUGGCGCAUCUGAUGAACAGCAAGGAGGCCAGAGCAACGGAGGUGGAGUCAGCAGGGAAGGUUAGUAAAAGUGGCAGCAGACAGAUGAUGGGGGCCAGAUCAUUUAGGGCCCUGAAGGCUAUUGUAAGGACACUGGCUUAUGUUCUGAGUGAGUCUGGAAGUCAUUGGAAGGUUAGCUGAGGCAUGACAUGAUCUAUCAUAUUUUAAAAGGAUCAGUGGUAGAUAUACUAAAAAAGUAUUUGAAGCAGGGUGAAGUCUGAAGCAGGGGAACCAUUACAGAGGCUACUUUAAUCUGGCUGAGAGGUGGAAACCUGGAUCAGGGUGGCAGCAGGAGAGUGGCUAAGUAGCGAGACGCUGGACACAGUCUGAUGGUAGAGCCGGGGGAUCUGCUGAUGGGUCAGAUGUGGAGGUAAGAGAAAGCAAAGGGCCAAGGGUCAUACUCCACAGCUUCUGGGCUCUGAAAGAUGGGGGAAGACUACAGGAGGAGUAGGUUUGGGAACUUGGUUUUGAAUUUGUUAACUUUAAAAAUGCCAAUCAGAUAUUCAAGUGGAGAUGUCAACUAGGCAGUUGGAUAUAUGGAUUUAGAGUUCCAAGAGAGGUCUAGGAUGAAAAUAUAACUUUGUGACUCCUCAGCCUUUGGAUGUUAUUUAUCUUGGACUGGAAGAUCCCCAAGUCAGUGAGUGUAGACAGAACAGAGAUAGAGGCCUGAGGGCUGGACUCUGAGGCUCUCCGCAAUAUACACGUUGAAGAAAUGGGGACAAGCAGAGAGGUGGGAAGGAAACCACAAGAAUGCAGUGUCCUAGUGAAAUAGAGCAGGACCCUAUGGCGCUUGCCCCCCGUGUCCUCAGGCUGCCUUUUGUCUGUGGAAAAACUUUAGCCAAAGAAUAAGUUUAAUCAGAGAAGUGAGAAAAUGCAGAAACAAAGGAAAACAGUCCAACAAGACCAAAUAACAAUAGGUUAGUCAUUAAGCAAAGUCAAGGACUUUUAGUUCCUCCUCAAGGGCUAUAGGUAAUAUUCUGAGCCAUACCCUGUGAGUUGUCUUACAGAUACUGAAACCCCGCAAGGUGGAAGAAGUUACAUGAUGACCAGGCUAUAGCCACGACAUAAGCAGUCACAAUUCUGAGAGCUGGCCUUAAAGAAAUGGAACAAAUUGACCCUGGAACUGAAGAUUAACUGCACUUAAAACAAUCAAGAUGACGCUGAUCAGACCACCGAUGACCAACGUCAAGAUGACUGUCAGAGCUGACUGCGCUGUUUCUGCGUGUAGCCCGCUCCCAGCAUGUAUAAAAGCUCUUGCCCACUGAUUGUCAGUGGGGGGAGUCGGCCUUUGGCCAGGCCUCUGCCCCCUGCCCCGCCAGGCUGCCGGCCUCUGAA